UACGAAGGGGGCUAGCGUUGCUCGGAAUCACUGGGCGUAAAGCGCACGUAGGCGGGUUCUUAAGUCCGGGGUGAAAUCCUGGAGCUCAACUCCAGAACUGCCUUUGAUACUGGGAAUCUCGAGUCCGGGAGAGGUGAGUGGAACUGCGAGUGUAGAGGUGAAAUUCGUAGAUAUUCGCAAGAACACCAGUGGCGAAGGCGGCUCACUGGCCCGGUACUGACGCUGAGGUGCGAAAGCGUGGGGAGCAAACAGG
rnacentral:rRNA from 1 species